rnacentral:rRNA from 1 species
AGUGAACGCUGGCGGCAGGCCUAAUACAUGCAAGUCGAACGGCAGCACAGCAGAGCUUGCUCUGUGGGUGGCGAGUGGCGGACGGGUGAGGAAUACAUGGGAAUCUGCCCAGUCGUGGGGGAUAACGUAUGGAAACGUACGUUAAUACCGCAUGCGCCCUACGGGGGAAAGCCGGGGACCGCAAGGCCUGGCGCGAUUGGAUGAGCCCAUGUUCGAUUAGCUAGUUGGCGGGGUAAAGGCCCACCAAGGCGACGAUCGAUAGCUGGUCUGAGAGGAUGAUCAGCCACACUGGAACUGAGACACGGUCCAGACUCCUACGGGAGGCAGCAGUAGGGAAUAUUGGACAAUGGGGGCAACCCUGAUCCAGCCAUGCCGCGUGAGUGAAGAAGGCCCUCGGGUUGUAAAGCUCUUUUGUCCGGAAAGAAAAGCAAUCGGUUAAUACCCGGUUGUCUGACGGUACCGAGAAUAAGCACCGGUAACUUCGUGCCAGC